UACGUAGGGGGCAAGCGUUGUCCGGAAUUACUGGGCGUAAAGCUCACGCAGGCGGAAUUGUAAGUCCGUUGUAAAAUUCAGAGGCUCAACCUCUGUCUGUCGGCGGAUACUGCAAAUCUAGAGUAUGUGAGAGGGAAGUGGAAUUCCUGGUGUAGCGGUGAAAUGCGUAGAUAUCAGGAGGAACUCCGGUGGCGAAGGCGACUUCCUGGCACAAGACUGACGCUCAUGUGCGAAAGCUAGGGUAGCGAACGGGAUUAGAUA
rnacentral:rRNA from 1 species